GUGCUCGCUUCAGCAGCACAUAUACUAAAAUUGAAACGAUACAGACAAGAUUAGCAUGGCCCCUGAGCAAGGACGGUGGUUCAAAUCCCAGCAUCCCAUAUGGUC